ACAGACCCCCGGAUGCAGCUGCGGCGGAAGGCGCGUCCUGUUGGCUACUCCCGGUUUUCCUCUGCGUUUCUCCGCCUCGGAGACGCCGCAGUAAUAACGGGCCCACCAGCUACUGACGAGCUCACUCAGAGAUGCUUUACUUGCGCACACCUAACUAAUUGCCCUGUAAGGACGAUAGCUGUGAGUAGGCCUUGUACCUGUGGAACCAAGGAAACGUCUGCUGAAUUCAGAAAUUCAGAAGCUGGAUCCUGCCCUCUGGCCCUCUGGGACUGAGGAAUUGUACCUUAGGGGUGCACACCUUGGAGAAAGCACACACCUCCAGUUUGUUGGACAGCAGGAUCAAAAACCAACCCACCAACACCUUAAAAACAUAUGUAUUUAUUUUAUGGAGGCAUCCUCUGAUAAAGAAUGCUAAGACCUUACCAAAGAUUUCACAGGGACACAGAAGACAAGCAGGGAAUGAAGAUCCAGCCUGCAACCAUCUUAGGCUUAAAAGCCAUCUUAUCAUAAAGACAAAGGAGGUCCAUUCCUAUUUAUGAUUAAACUUCUGUUUUUCAAGGA